rnacentral:rRNA from 1 species
UACGUAGGGGGCAAGCGUUGUCCGGAAUCAUUGGGCGUAAAGAGCGUGUAGGCGGUUUGGUAAGUCCGCUGUGAAAGUCCAGGGCUCAACCCUGGAAUGCCGGUGGAAACUGUCAAGCUUGAGUCCGGAAGAGGCGAGUGGAAUUCCUGGUGUAGCGGUGAAAUGCGCAGAUAUCAGGAGGAACACCAAUGGCGAAGGCAGCUCGCUGGGACGGUACUGACGCUGAGACGCGAAAGCUAGGGGAGCGAACAGG